UUUCCAAAUAGGGGGGCUUUCUGCAGAUUUUCAUGACCCCACACCAGCUGACUCAUGUGCUGUUCAACAAGCAACCCUUGCCAGAAGGCCACCAAAAAGAAGGCAUGAAUUAGAGCCAGUACCAAUAAGGAGAAUAAUUUUUGCACAGAUAGACAUCAGCAAUCCUAUCAAUGAUGAAAAACACCCACCAACAACAACGUAUGAAUAUGUGAAUCUGAAUGCACAUCCGAAGCCAAGUUCAACAGAAACAGGAGCAUCACCACUUGAGAUGUUAGCCUUGGUUUCAGAAAAUGAGUAACAGAAGGGAAUCUGUGAAAAGCUUCUGCAAUAAAAAAAGGCUUUGGAACAAAGACUAGCUAAGCAGAUACUACAAAAUGUUGAUUUGAAAAGGGAAUGUGCAGCUCUAAAGGACAAACCUAAAGAUUUUAAGAAAAGUCAUGACUUUAUCUUCUAAGUUAAAAAGGUCCAAUAAGAGACAACUUUCAGUAUCAUACUGGCUUUGUUUAUGUUCAGUUUAUGACCAUUUUUAACUUUCUAGUGCCAAAUAAAGUGUCCAUUCAAUUGGAAGAGAACAGUGCCUUCUGUAAAGAACAUGAAACUAAAGACACUUGUUCAACAUUUCGCCUCAAGACGCAGGAGUGGUUUUCCGAGAAUGGAUAAACUACAAGUUCUAUCGAUUUGGAUCUGUGCCUCUUUGGCCAGAGCGAGAAAUACUUAUAAACAAUAUGCCACCUAAAUUUAAAACUGAUUUUCCAACAACAAUGCUCAAAUUAGAUGGAACUGAAUGAAAGUUGAGCGGCCAAGCUCUUUGCGAUCUCAAAGUCAAUGUUAUUCAGACUACAAGUCAAGCUAUACACUAAAAGGUUUAGUUGGUAUUGACCCAAGGGGUUCCUUUACAUAUAUUUCCAUGCUUUACUCAGGUUCAAUAUCUGAAAAGGACAUUACAAGUAAAUGUGAACUGCUGAAUGUAUUGAGAAAUCUGAUAGACUGCAAGAGGCUACAUGUAGUGGAUGGCAACAUGGUAGAUAUAAGGUUAUUAAUAAAAAAUGAAAUUGAAGCCGUGGGGUUAAAGUUGAUAAUUCCACCAUUUGCGCCUUGAGCCUGACAAAUGUAAACUGGUGAUGUCACUUUAACCAAGAAAAUUGCAAAACACAAAGUGCAUGAUCUAGAGCAAAGAAGUUCAAAAUUGUUGACAAUAGAAUAGAGGUCAGAUUGUUUCCAGUGGUGAAUCAAAUCUGUUUUAACUGUUGUUUCUUGACAAGAUUCAUGCCACUUCUUAUACAAGACAAAAAAUAACCUGGUGCUCCAGUGUUGAGCCUGCACUCUGUUCACCACUGCUGGUGGCCACUGUCUUGUAUGGCUUGGAUGCUAAGUACCCAAGUAGUGUACCCCUCAUAGCAGCAAGAUGCUCAAUGUCCAACAGCUUAACUUACCUGAAACAAAGUGAAAUAGAAUGUAUUAUCACACUUUGUAUAUAUUUAUAUAUUUAUUUAUAUAUAGGGGUUUAACAUUAGAAUUUAUUAUUUUGAGGAACACUUCUUUAAUUCAUCCUUUAAGAAAUGUUGA